rnacentral:lncRNA from 1 species
AAUCCAACAUUGCUUCUCAUUAUUGUAGUGGUCUUUUCAUUAUCUAGGACACAAGUGCCAGCAUCUGGCAAAAUGUCUCUGGCUAGCCAGGUUAUUUAAUAUUUCAAUCUAACUUUUAUUCUUUUAGCUACAACCUGUGAAGGGAUGUGCAAAAUACCCUAAUGGUGAAAAGAGGCUUGAGUCCUGCCUAUUGAUAACUGCCGACUCCUCUGUAAGGGGGCCAGCAAGAAAGAUGGCUUUAAAAUACAAAGUGUCCAUGAGCAUAUUGGUGAAGUAGCUUCAUGUGGAAGAAAAAGCUGGAGAUAUGGUGGACCUGCCGUGAAGUCAAACAGUUGGAGCACUUAAGGAUGUGCGUAUACAAAUGGGCUUCAAGCCUUAUGUCAGUCCACUUGGCUAGACCACGUAGUAUGAUCGCAUUUCCAAGAAGAAACAGAGACGUUAAGCAGCUUGCCUAAGAACACACAGCACUUGGGGAGUUCACCCUUUACUAGUGUGUCCUCUUGAAGAUGUGGGCGAACUGGACCAGAAGGAAAAACUAAAGUAGGAAAAAAAAAAAAAAAAGAUUUGCCAAAGUAUGCUAGAGAUAUUGAGAAAAAUCUCUUGAACAUCAUUUAUAGGAAAAGAGGCAAAAUUCAAAACUUAAUCAUUCAAAGUAUUUCGUUUUUCACUUCUGCCUUUCCGUGAAGGCAGGGGUCUCAGUUGCAUCCUCAGAUAGAUUUGAGAAGAACAAGAGGACACUAUGAAACAACGCACCUCCCCAAGCUGCCGCUUCUUCAAAGCCCUGCGCUUCCUGUUCCCUUCACUGUAUUUCAAUUCCAAAAUACACUGUGACAUGAAAAUUGUGUAUUCAGAUGGUUGUAUUGAUUUGUUGAGAAAGUGACCUUGUAUGCACACAUGAAAAUGAAGAGAUCUAUACGGCGAGCGAGGCCUCUUCUCUGUAAAGAUACAGGAACAACAGUGCUGGAUAAUAGGCAUUUGUGUCACACCUGGGUUCUCGCUCCCUCUCCUCGGGCUCCGAGCACCCAGGGAGAGCUUCCUGCAAGGCUGGGCAGGGGCCUUUAUGUGAGGACACCUGGCAGAGGGCAAACAUUGCGGGGGAGGGGGGCAGUCUCCUGUUCCCAUUUGCCGCAGCCAGUGGCCCUGGCCAGGGCAGCGGGCUUUCUGUGCAGUUUGGGCCAGCCGUAGCUCCUUUGGGUCCGAAUUCACCUUUUGCUAAUACGCGCAGGGGCACAGCGCCAUGGACCCACUUGGAUGGCAGCAUCCACGGCUCUAGGAAGAAGGGAUCCUGCCGAGGUAUCCUCAGCUACCUCUGUCCCCUCGUGCGUUCAUGCGUAUCCAUUGGAAGGAACAGGCAUGGGUAGUAUGAGCCCCUGCCCAGCACGCGGGCCUUGCAGAUGCAGCGCCUCAUUUAAUACUUGGGACAGCCCUCCAGGCGGACGGCGAGAAAGCGUUUGCCUGGGACAGAAAGUGGGACGCAGGGACGUCCUCACACCUCGCCUCAGCUGAGGCAGCUGGCACGUGACCCACAAAGCUGGAACCCACGACUUUGGGUCAGAACUCCCAUGGUCCUCUUUACCUCUGCAUCCGAAGCCCCUGUGGUUUGGAUUCCGAAUCACGGGACUGAAAUGAAACUAGAGUUUCUUCACUUAGGGAGCCAGGCGGUCGACGGGCUUUGGCCAAGAACGUUUCUUUGUCCCCGGAGUCAGGGGUUAGCCGUAGAGGUGCCGGAUGGACGGGGAAGGGGGAGUGGGGAUGGUUCUCAGAACCUAGAAGCCCCGAGUUCAUCCCACACAAUGGAAACCAGAGCCCAGACUGUCUUAACCAGACGUUCCAGGGUCACGCUGUUCUUUGCUGCAGAGACAGUGGGGAGGAGGAGGAGGAGGAGAAGAAAAAAGAGCACGUGGAAACUUCAAAAAAUGGUGAGCCGAGUGCGGAUGGCUUUUAUUAGAACUGCUAGGCUGAACCGGAAGGCUUGAGCUGCGUAAAAAUGUCACUUGCUCUUAUCACGGUUCGUGGAGAUUGCCUUUCAACGCGAGUUGCAUUUUCGUCUCUUCCAGCCCUUGGAGAAGUGAGAGAGGCAGGGACUCCUUUACCUCCUUAUGCUCGCCAGCAACUUGCUCCGUUCUCUGUGUUUUGUGUCAUUCUGGAUGAUACGGCAUCAAGGCAAUUCGUGGCAGCGGUUGAACCAAAAGCAAUUUAAGUCGAGGGUGGACACACAUGGAUGUCAGUUAUAAGGCUUCUUUAAACGCCGUUGAUGUCUCUCAAAGCCUGAACACUCCUCAGCAGUGGGACGCCCUUUUUUUUUUUUGCCCCCCCCCCCCCCCAGCAACUCAAGAUUGGAGAUUGAAUACAGACCGCUUAGUGAGGCAGCCGCAUGAGUCUUCCCAAGAAACCCUUUCUUGGGCAAGUGAGUUAUUUUGUAUUAUAUACUGAGGAGGAGAGAGAGAAAAAGAUUGAGUGAUCAGAAACCAGAGUGAAUGCCCAAGGUGAAUUGAUAUGCACUGUUUGGCUUUAUUGCAGUAACAGAUGCUACAAGUGUCACAUACUUGGACAUGUCACCGAUGUGGCCACAGUGCUACGAGUUACCCUCUAGUUUAGUUCAUUUUCAUAAUCGCUCUCCACAGAAUCAGUCCUUGAGUAGAAAGGUAUGUGCUUCUGUUCCCAUUUUACAGAUGAGAAAACUGAGUCUCAGAUACUUGCACCAGGGAUUGAUCCUCUGGGGCUCCAGAGGUCUUUUGACCACAGUUCACUGUCUUGUUUGGAGAACACCUAGCAACAUUAGAAGCCAGGAGCCCGGAUUUGGCCACAGUCCUUCCUCUCUGCAUCCAAGGUUGUAGGGAAGGCUGGUGGCUUGGGGCCCUCCUUGUCUGAAUCCCACGGGGCUGUGCUUUAGACGCGCUUCUGGUGUCCUGUGGGUGCUGAAGAAGCAGAGGAAACCAGAGCUGGGGUUCUGCUUCGGUCAUUCUCAGGAAGCAAGGCCCCAUGUCGUCAGAAAGGAAGGCUGGUUCCACGGGGAAGCCAGGAACCCGGGAACAUGAAACUCAGUAAAGAGAAGACGGAAACACUUUCCAAACUCUAGAGGGUCAAGGGGCGCAUGUCAGAAGAUGCGGGCACGUAAGCAGUUCCUAGAGGCUGAAUCCUUGCAACAACUCAAGAAACAGUUG